GGCCGCGCGGCGUCCCGGGACGCCGGACCCGGGGAUGGGGCGGGAAGCCCGGGCGCGGGGCACCCACCUUGGGCGCGCUGCCGAGGCCGGGAGUGGAGAAGGUGGACGCUGGAGUCGGCACGUCGCGAGUCCCGAUUUCCUGCCGCUUUUCCUCCACCCGGGCUGGGGGAGAGGGAGUGGGGGGCCAAGGAAAACUUUCUUUCAAGUCGCUUUCGGCGUCGCCAAACUUUUCGAGGUCGGUUGGCUAUGGCUGCCAGCUGUCGGAAGCCGGGGAGAUCCGCGUUCAGGGGCACGGCCCCCCGGGAGGGGGUGGGCAUCGCUUUCUCCAGGCUGGGAAGGUAGGAGCGGCCCCCCCGCGGCACCGGCGCCACGGACCCCGCUCCUGCCCGGCCGCCCGGCAGCGCCGCAGUUGUCCCGCUGGCAUCCGCGCGCCGGCGGGGGCGACGCGGCCGCACAAAGGCAGCGGGGCGCCAGGUAGGGCGAGCACCUGGCGGUGGGCAGGCGGCGGCGGGCGAGGGUGCCUCGGGGCAGCGAGAGCCGCGCCGGCCUGAGCUCUCCUGCGCGCCGGCCCGGAGGGUCUUUGCAUCGAAAAGGCCGAGUAAACACCACCCUCCCCUUUCUCCAAGUGCGAGGUGGCUGGCACUUUUCGGGUGUACAGCAGACGGUUUCGCAGGGGAGGAAGUCGAGUUUUUUGUUCUUUUUCCUUCGGUACUUGGGAAAUUGAUGGAAGUGGCUGGCUCUUUUUCUGACGCGUUUCUGACUUUUCCUCUACCCCCCAACCUCCCGCCUCGACUACCCCGCCCCCCAUAACCUUAGCCACAUCCCUUGGGCUUUGCCGUGGUGUGUACUUUCUUUCCAAAGCACAAAAGCAAGGGCUCUAUUUUGAAGAGAUUGGCAGUCCAUCAGCGGAGGGGAAGGGGGAAGUUCUACCCCAAGGCUUCAUAGUUUCCACACUUGCUUCUUUUCAACUAAUCCGACUUAGGACUUAGCUGGUCCUCUUCUGGUUGUUGUUUUUUUUUCUAAGUGACUGUGAAAGUGGCGCUAAGUAAAAAUGAUAACCCGUGCAGGACUAAUUUAAAAAUCUCUAUCCUGCAGGAGUUGGGGGAAAUUAGCGAAGGCACAUAGAAACUUACACACAAGUAAAAGGAGCACUUGAUCCAGUGCUGUGUUUAUUCCAAAGAAUGAUUAAAAACAAACUCACAAAAAUCUUUAAAGGGGCACCCUUGACCAAAGCUUUUUUUUUUUUUUUUUCCCACUUAGUCCAAAGUUAUGUCACCCUUGUUUCUACCUAAGAGGAUACUUUAUCUGUAAAUAAAAGUUCCCUUUCAGUUUUAGGGUUUAAGAAGUCAGCCCACCCCACAUUAUUUUUGGAACCUUUAUAGAGAACCAUUUACUUAAACUGUGUGUUAGGGUGGAGAUACCUAAAUUGGGCCACAGCCUAAUUGGCUACUUAAAUUUAAGGAGUAUGAGUCUUAGUACUUUAGAAUUGCUAUAAUUAUUUUCCAUGGUUAAAUAUUUCCAAAAAAAAAGAGAGAGAGAGAGAGAAAUCAAUGUAUUUUAUGUCAAGAGCUUAAAGAAUCUUACUGAAUUUAAAGAGCUGAGUGGUACCUUGAGAAAAUUAACUUUACCUUAGUUGACUCAUUUUUCUGCUGUAGAGGCUAAAAAGUACUGUGUGUGUGUGCUUAGUCACUCAACCAUGUCCCACUCUUUGUGACCCCAUGGACCACAGCUCGCACGCCAGACUCCUAUGUCCGUGGAAUUCUCCAGGCAGGGAUACUGGAGUGGGCAGCCAACCAUUCCCUUCUUGAAGGGAUCUUCCGGACCAAAACCCCCAGGGAUUGAAGCCGGGUCUUCUGCAUUGCAGGUGGAUUCUUUACUGUCCAAGUCACCUACUGUAGGAUGCCUUUUCUAGGGACCUUAGAAACUGGUCGCUCAAUUCAGUCCAUUGCUGUUGCAGUAGGUGGAUGGUGAAGUGGAUGCAGAAGAAACAUGUUCUAAGGAAGAGCUGUUUCCAGAGUGUGUAGGGUGUCGGUUGAAGGAUGGGGUGUGACUUACCUAUUGAUGGGUUCCCUGCCAGCAGCACAGAUGGCAGUACUCUAGGCCGCCAGGAGACUAUCAGUGCAUCAGAUACGGUUGCUGAGGCCACGAUGCCCUGACGGAAAAGUUGAAACAGCUGGCUGUCUUGAAAUAGGAGCUGUGCCAUCAGUCACUCCAUCUACUGGAUCUAGAAUAACUUGGCGAAAAUGAAAUGAAUCAUUUCUUCACUGGCUUGCAAAAUUAAGUCUGUGUGCUAGAUUUGUGAAAUUGCCUUAGAACAGAGCAUAGGCAGCUUCGAUAGAAACUUUAGUUAUUAUGUUUACGAUUUAUGUAAGACCCCCUUCCAGCUAAAUGAGGCAUUGAUUUGUGUUUCACAUCUGUCUGCCCAGCUGCAUCCCUCAGCUGCUUAGAACAGGAAGAGAAGGGACAUUGCCUCCAGUGGGUGUGGCUCAGUAUUAGGGAGAGUAUAAUUGACCAGGAGCUUGGCACCUGUACUGUGGAUUUUCUCCCUCUCUCCCUCUCUCUCAGAUAUCUUAGGAAAUCUGGUAGCACUUUAGGAAGGCUUUCCACUUGUACCCAAGACCCUCCCAAGGCUCACUCAGUUGUGACUCAGGGUGAGUGCCAUUUUCUGACUCAUGAACAAGGUAUACAGCUUACAGUUUAUCUCAUAUCUUCCUCCUGAAACCUCACUUUGGGACACUUUUCUCCAUCUUUGGAGAACCAAGAACAGUACCAGGCAAUAGCAAAUUUGUUUCUUUUUUUCUUAGGUGACUUGAAUGGGGAAAAAGAAGAUAAACACCAAAAAAUCUCGGCAUGUCUCUCUAUUUAUUUUGUACACAUUGGUUAAGAGGGCACAACAGUCUCCUUUGACUUUAAUCAAAAUACCCAUCUAAGAUUUCCUUUGUAGAAUCUGGCUUUAUCAUCAGCCACAAAGGAAGUUCUGCUUUUGGACUGUCUAAUGAACUAGACCCAUGUGUGUGCCUCUGCUGUGUACUUCAGAGCUAGAAGCUAUAAUUCAUAAGGCUUUUGUGACUUAGAUAUACUGACAUAUUUAAGUACAUCUGAAUUGGCCAUCACCUCUGAAUAUGUUCAGGAUACAUUCCCUUCUCUUUGCUUGCAUAUUACUUCUGAAUAAAUUGCAGACAUUAUACAUAAAAAUACAUAGGAAUAGACUUAUGAACCUUGAAAUCUGGUGAAGCUGACUACAAGUUAGGUAAGUUCCUUUGAGUGCAGGCAUGGCAUGUUUGACAUUUAAAAAGUCUGGAAUCCAAUCCAAACAUGUUUUCUGGGAAGGUAACCUAGUCCAUUCCCACUGAUUAGUUUAUCAGAUUUCUUGUAGCCUCCCAGCCAAAGCAAUACAACACUCAAAAAAACAAAAAUAGAAAGGAAUGGAAUGAAGCCCAGAAAAGUUGUUUUUUUUUUUUGGCUGCACCAUGCAUCAUGUAGGAUCUUAGUUCCCUGACCAGGGAUUGAACCAGCAUCCCAUGCAGUGAAGUGUGGAGUCUUAACCACUGGGUCACCAGGAAAGUCCCCAGAAAAGUUUUGAUGGAGGUAGAUUAGGGCAAGAGUGGAUGCAGAGAUUGUCUACAGGCUUCUGUGGAUGGGCCUGCCUAGUAGGAAAUGUUUGGCUGCCCAGUGGGGCUAUGGAUGGAGGGGAUGGAGAAGUGGAGGAAGCAGGCUGUUGCAGAAGCUGAAAGCCACUUCCUCCUUGGUUUUGCUGGGGAUUUCAGCUUUGUCAGUGGAUGCAAACUCAAAUGUCUGCAGAGGCCAGGAUAUGGUUUUUGAUGGGGUGAAACUGGCCUCUGGAGAGUAAAUAUAGAACGUAUGCCCAUUGGAAGAGGCAUCAUUACUUGAUCCUAGGCUGUGGUUACAUUGACCACAUCACCAAAUUGUCUGCUUUUUCAAGAUAAGCUGAAAAUCCAGAUUUUUAUGCCAAACCUGCUGGUUUUUAAAAGUGUGCUGAUGGUCGCUGAGAGGCCAAACAGGUCAGCUGUUUGCAGCCACUCUGUCGUAAAUCUCAAAGCAGUGUUCUUACAAACCACCAUGCUUCCUUUCAUUCACUUACCAGUGGGAAUGUCUAAACUUUAGCCACAUUCCCAAUAAAGGCAUUAGAUUUUUACUGACACAUCCGCAACUUCCCACUCCAUUUCCCUUAAGAGAGGGAGUUUCCUGGUGUUUUCAGCCCGUGGACUCUCUAAGCUAUCAGGCAAGGGCAAUCUGCAUUCAGCUGCAACCAUUUGGAGCUAGCUAAAAACACCUGUGUAGAGCUAUGAGUGGUGAGGCUGUAAGUUGUCUUAACACUUCAAAUCCCUUCUCCAAUGGAAAGGCACUACUAUCUCCAUACUAUGUGAUGGACCUCUUUUAUCACUUCUUUCCCUGUUGCAUCUCAUGAAUUCGAGGUCUGUUUCAGGGAUUCUUGAGUGUGUGUGCAUGCUCAGUCCUAUUUGACUCUGCGACCUUAUGUACUAUAGCCUGCCAGGCUCCUCUGUCUAUGGGAUUCUCCAGGUGAGAAUACUGGAAUGGUUUGCCACUUCCUCCUCCAGGGGAUCGUCUUGACCCAGGAAUGGAACCCGCAUCUCCUGCUUUAGCAUGUGGACUGUUUACCACUGAACCACAUGGGAAGCCCAGGUUUCUCUUUGAGGCUAGAUAAUGAACAUUUUCGUAAAUAUAACUGGAAAUACAGCCUUUUGCCCUUGACUUAAUUUCACAAGCUCAUGUGACAUGAAAUUAAAGAGUACCUCGAAUUUCCUGAUGAGGAGAGGACUGAGUCUCAUUACUUGGUAAGAACCUGAGAAAGGUCUUUUCAUCAGCUUCAAAAAGCAGAAAUAUUUUGAAACCUCUGUACAAAUGCAGAGCUUCAUUGUGAACUUCAUUAGGGAUCAUAUAGAAAUUAUGUACAGUUGUAAUUUUCCAAUUUGACUCAUCUACUAUUUUUUUUAACAAGGAUACAGCAACUUGUGUCUUAAUCAGUAUGUGAUUAAAAUGAGUUUCUCCAUGGUCAGGUUUUAAUAUUUUACUUUUUUAAAACAUGCUGGGACUUAAUAUUUACAGAACAAAUAGAGGGUUAAACGUUAAAUGCCAAAGGUAUUAAAAAUAAACAGCUUGGCCUUGUAAGCACAUUCUGUAAUAAUAGUAAGCAAAUUUUGUGUUUUGAAUUUCAACUUACAGAAUUUGUUUUGGCAGAGAUGAAAGGUUUGGGGGCAUCUUAGUGAAGUAUUUUUGUACAUAUCUUUAUGACAACCUUACUUCAGAGAAGUAGAACUAUGAGCGGGUUCUACUUAGACAGAUUGUCCCUAAAAAUAAGGACAUGGACUUGGACACUAUGCAUCUGGGUAAAGUCAGCCUUCCUUUCUGAGUUGCCACCGUGGGAACAUUGUUUAAGGCAUUUCCAAAUGGUCAUUUAAGAAAAAUUUUUUACUUUCUUUAAGACCUAAAAUAUUAGUAUCCAGCCUGAUCACCCAUCUUGGUCCCUCUUAGCUGUUGCCAGAAAUUACAUUCUGCCUCAAAGGGUGAAUAAACUGAUCCUGGAGAUGUGCGGUAUCAUGUAACAUAGGCUCUGGGGCCCUGAAAGGAGGUGGUUCCUCCUCCUCAGUGCUGUAAGAACUGCUCCAAAGGAGGCCACACUGUCUUGGGUGUUUUGAGUUCUGAUGUGUUUGUUAAAAAUUCAUCCAUGUGACUUUAUAAUCAUACUCUGCAUUGUAGAAAGUGAAACACAUUUUACAUUGUAGAAAGCCCAGGAGAGAGUUGGAAGAGUCUAUCCUAAACCCUUUUGCUUGGCUUCACAGAAAGAUCUAGAGGGGUUAGACAGCUUCAAAAAUCUCAGAGCUAGGUUUUGGCUGAUCUGGUGCCAGAAUCCAGGUUUUCAGAUCCCAGCCUAAUAAGACUUUCUCCACCAAACCACUGUGGUGGAUUAGAGUCUAGGCAUGACUAGGUAAUUUUCUUCCUGGGACUCUUCAAAAAAGCCUGCUUGGAGAUGGAAGAUUGCUCUUUAUUUUUGAUUCAUUACUGUAUCAACUUUAAGAGAUUAUAAAAAAAUUAAUUUAGAGGAAUUCUCCAUAAUACCAGUACCCUAAAGGUAAUGAUUUUCAUGUCUUUGGGUUUCUUUCCAAACUAUCCAAAGGCACAUUAUUUUUAUGUAGUUGUAAUUGUGGGGCAAAUACACAACUUGUGUUCUGUAUUUCCCCAUUUAUUAUAUACUAUAAAUUCUUUUCCUUGGUAAGCAUAUUGGUCGUAUUUUGGUGGUGGCUUGAGAAUCCCAGGUAGCCUGAUUACCCAACUUGAGUCCUGACUCCAGAGAUCUGUCUUCCAGAUCCACUGCUGACUGUUCCUCCCUGCCCUCAUUAGAACUGCCCUGGUCAACGCUGGGCGGCUCAGCCUCCUGACCUGCUUUAAACCUAACCUGCUGUAUAGUUCUCUUUGGUUUUAAAGUCUGAAGCCAGGAUGGGCUGGCUUGGUGUAUACUCCAUACUUGGUGCUCUUGACCCGAGGUGGGUACCAUUUGUGUUCCCCUGAGAUUGUGAUGCUGGCACUUAAAUGUGCCACAGCAGUGGGUGCUCAGGCCUCUGACGCCUGCUUGGCAGCUAUGAGUUCCUCUGUCAGAGGACCCAAGUGGUUGAAGACAAGGAGCUUUGAAACCCAAAGUAGAGAAGACCAGUAUUUGCAUAGGAGGUUAGCAUACAUGCUUGAUAGGUAGGAAUCCUUAUCAAAUACAUUGGUAACCCUUGGAAAUCAAAGAUGAGUUAAGCUCUGCCUCUGCUUCUGAGAUACUCAUAGACCAGUGGAUAACAAAGUGUGCUGUUUUUAUUUUCUUUUUAAAAAAAUAUUAUUUGUUUCCUGUGCUGGGUCUUAUUUGGGGCAUGUGGGAUCUAGUUUCCUGACCAAAGAUUGAACCCUGGCCCGCUGCAUUGGGACCUCAGGGUCUUAGCCACUGGACCACCAGAGAAAUCACACAAAAGACUUUCCUAUAGGUGAUUUCAUCUCAUUCUUACACCAAUGAUGGUUUUUGUUGCCAUUUGACAGUAAGAAAACCAAACUGUGGUGAGGGAAAGGGAAUUGUUUAGGACCAUUCCACUUACAUGUAAUGAGCCGGGUCUGCUAACUUUAUGCUCUUUCAAAAGCAACUGAAUAUAUUGUCUCUGAAUUUGAAAUUUCUGGGUCCGGAUAUCUGUAUAACACUUCAUUAUUUUACAUACUCCUGAGGAAAAACAAGGUUGAUUUAAAAUCCGUUUUAAAUGUCUGAGCUGCUUAAUGUCCUUGUUUGUGGAUGUUUGUAUGUCACCAUGUUUGAGGACUAGAUGAUACCACACUGGGAUCAAGCAUAAAAGUAAAAGAGAGUCAUACUGGAAAGUUGUCUGAUCUCAGUUAAAAAGUAGAAAAUAAGGGAAAUAAGCAACUAUAUUCCUAACUGAAAGAAAAAAAAUUUUUUUUUUUAAGAAAAUAAUGGAAACAAGAUAACCACAAGAAAUUUAGCCCUGGAAUCCUUACGUACAUGACAAACAAAAAAAUAGGAUAGCAUAUUAUUAGUUUUAGUAAUUUAAUUGGUGUGACCAAUAUUCGAUGUUGACAGUGAUUUAGCACAAUAUUACUUGGUAAUAGAAUGAUUUGGACAGUAUUGUCUAAAUCUAAAAUUUUCAACAACAAAAAAAUUAGGGUUGUUUUUAGUGUCUCAAUUAGAUAUGGACCUUUGCUACACAAAAUUUUGGAUUUGAAUGAAGAAGCAUCUAUUAAGCUACUUUGAGUAUGAUAAAGAUAGCACCUCCAAGACUUGGGAGUGCUCUGAUGCAGAAAUAUGUCUGCCAAAUUAUGGCAGUUCUCCUUUCUCCCAUCAGAUUGUCAGAGAUUCUUAACAUUUGGGGGUGUUCUGAGGCCCUCUGAAACUAUGUUGGAAACUAUUGAUGUGUUUCCUGACAGUGUUUGUAGUAACAAGAACAACAACAACAAAACCCAACCAAACAAAAAGACAGGAGCAAUCUAAAUGUCCAUUAGUAGAGAAAUGCACACAUGCUGUGACUUAUUGAUAACAGGGAGUCAAUAUGGAUAGAUAUCACAAAGGUAGUAUGUAGCGAAGAAGCAAAUUGUAGAAAGAUACAUGUAAAGUCGUUUAAGAAAAAUUUCAGAACACAAAACAAGGCUAUCUAUAUUGUUUGGGGAUAUAUAUUCACAUAUGUAUAUAUUUAUGUGUAUGUUCUUUUAAAAAUGUAAAUUGGACUAGAGAGAUAUCAAAUUCAAGCUGCUGAAGUAGGGAAGGAGGAAAGAAGAGAACUGAGAUGAGUAGACUAACAUUAGAAAUGUUUUAUUUGCUUUAUUAAAAUAUAAAGCAAAUGUAGAAAAUAGUAUUAAUUCUGGACUGUAUGUGCAUAAAUACUUUUUUAAUUCCUCAGAGUGUCAACAUCUUUUUACAGUUAAGAAGAAGAAAACCUACAUAAAACAGAAUUCUUCAUUUAAUUUUAGGAAGUUCAUACACCUCCAAAGUCCAUACAGUAUCAUUCCCAGAGUCUUAGCAAACUUUGUCUUGAGGGAGCUUUGUGAAAAAUAAACAUUUCACAAUUAAGGCCAAACUUGGAGAGCAGUGAAUCAUGCCAAACCAGACUGGAUUGGAUGGCCUGUUGGAAAUAACAGUGGACGAUACUGUUUGGAACAGGUGGGGACAAUGCUGUUCACUGCCUAAUUCUGCCUUUUUGGCCAGCCCUUCGUUGUCCAUGUGGUGAAAGACAUUCUUCACACAUAAAAAUACUUUUUUUGUCUUGGAUGAAAGUCGUGUCUUCUGGAUUAUAUGAUGGUUCCCAGAAUAACCCAUAUUGGUGUCACCUCCUUAUUCUAUGUGCCACAGACUGUGCUAUAUGGGUGCCUCAACAAGCUGUGAAUCGAGUAGGAUUAACUUAACUUUGUGCACAGAUUUCAACGACAAAAAAAUCCAUUAACCUGUGACACUUUCACUUUGAUUUUUCUCUUCUCUUUUUAAAUGGAAAAUUUUUAACUACACUAAUGGGGAGAAAAUUAACUGCCUAACUUAUUUUCUCUACUUUGUCAAUGCGAUGUAUCACAUUGCUUUGCAGAUGUUGAACCAUCCUUGCAUCCCUAGAAUAAAUCCCACUUGAUCAUGGUGUAUGAACUUUUCAUGUAUUAUUAUUAUUUCUUUUUUUUAUUCUUCAUCAUUUUUUUUUUU